UGGGGAAUAUUGCACAAUGGGGGAAACCCUGAUGCAGCGACGCCGCGUGAGCGAAGAAGGCUUUCGAGUCGUAAAGCUCUGUCCUAUGAGAAGAUAAUGACGGUAUCAUAGGAGGAAGCCCUGGCUAAAUACGUGCCAGCAGCCGCGGUAAUACGUAUGGGGCGAGCGUUGUCCGGAAUUAUUGGGCGUAAAGGGUACGUAGGCGGUUUUUUAAGUCAGGUGUCAAAGCGUGGAGCUUAACUCCAUUAAGCACUUGAAACUGAAAGACUUGAGUGAAGGAGAGGAAAGUGGAAUUCCUAGUGUAGCGGUGAAAUGCGUAGAUAUUAGGAGGAAUACCGGUGGCGAAGGCGACUUUCUGGACUGCAACUGACACUGAGGCACGAAAGCGUGGGUAGCAAACAGG
rnacentral:rRNA from 1 species